GUCCUCGGACUUGCUCCAGUUCAGCAGUGAUGGUCUACACUGGUACAACUACCGUGACAUCCUGCCUGGUGUCCCACCCCCACUCAAGCUUUUCCCUGGGAACUGGGAGGACGUAGGCCCCACAGUGCGGACGUUCAGCCGGAUGGUGCAGGCACAGCAUGUCCGGGUCUGGCCCCAUGACGCCCACCACAGUGACACCCACCGCAGCGUCUCCCUGCGGGUGGAGCUGCUGGGCUGUGAGCCAGCAUCCCGUCCACAGCCAGGACCCCGCCCCUCUCCUCCACCCAGCCCGGACAGCUGCCCCCCCAGCACAGAGAGGGUCUGGCAGAGACUGAAAGCUGGCAUCCUGGGCAGAGGUCACCUGUGCCCCCCACAGGAGACAUGGUCACCAUGGACAUCUUGACUGGAUCCUGCCCUGCCCACCCUCCCGGAUUCCAGGGCGCGAGGCCCCAAGGUUGGCACCCAGACUGAGCCUAUGCCCCACAGCGUGGCUGCCUCCCCCAGACGCCUGGCCCGGGGCUGGGGGAUGCUGCCUGGCACUGCCCCCAUUCACACAGCCAGGCACCCCUUUCUGAAGUGUUUGCUGGCAGCAAGUGUCUCUAAGUGGGCGUGGGGAGGAGGAGGUCUCCAAGUUUGCACGUCCUGCCUCAUCCUUCACCUGCACACUAGCCCGAGGAGAGCUGUCUUCAGAGAGGAGUGGCCAGCACAGAAGGGAAGGCGUGGCUGUCAGGGCAGCCGGUGUGUCCUGGCUCUCACCUUCUCCCUCAGCAGGUGUUGGGCUCACCUCACUGCCUGCCUGGGCCUCAGUUUCCCCAUCUGUGAUACUCGGAGUUCUUAUGGAUGACCUGUAUGGUCCCUUCCCAUGAGUUCUGAGGAAAGUCAUUCAGCAGCCUGGCUGCCUGGGUGUCUGUGUCUUUUGUGAAAAGCAGAUAAUGCAACUUGUACCUUCACUCAGGUCUGUAAUAUGCACCCACGUGAUGAAUUCUAAUCUCACUUUUAAGUCUGGUUCUAGAAAAAAGGCUGUCUUUUAACAUGAGUCUCUUGUCAGAAAAUGAGGCUUUCAAACCUCUUUUCACCAUAUCUGCUAGGAAGCUCACAACCGUUUUCUCUGGAAAGUGGUAGCAAUGGGCGUACCCUGAGUCUCUGGAGUGUUUGCUUCUGCUGCUAAGCAUUCUCUGUUCUUUUUCUCCCUAAAUGU
rnacentral:lncRNA from 1 species